rnacentral:misc_RNA from 1 species
AAAUCGUGAAGCUGCUCGAAAAAGCCGUCUAAGGAAAAAGGCAUAUGUUCAACAGUUGGAGAGCAGCAGGAUGAAGCUGACACAACUAGAACAGGAGCUUCAACGAGCUCGGCAACAGGGAAUAUUUAUUUCAGGUUCAGGAGAUCAAUCGCAGUCGAUGAGUGGAAAUGGAGCUUUGGCAUUUGAUGUAGAAUAUGCCCGAUGGUUGGAAGAGCAGAACCGACGAAUUAAUGAAUUAAGGGGAGCUGUUAAUUCUCAUGCUGGUGAUGCUGAACUUCGCAUAAUAGUCGAUGGAAUACUGGCACACUAUGAUGACAUAUUCAGGAUAAAGGGGGAUGCGGCGAAGGCUGAUGUUUUUCACAUAUUGUCGGGCAUGUGGAAAACUCCUGCAGAAAGAUGCUUCUUGUGGCUUGGUGGAUUCCGUUCAUCUGAACUACUCAAGCUGCUCAUUAAUCAGUUGGAGCCUUUAACCGAACAACAAUUAUUGGCGAUCAACAACUUACAACAGUCAUCCCAACAGGCUGAGGAUGCUUUAUCCCAGGGAAUGGAGGCAUUGCAGCAGUCUUUGGCUGAGACACUCGCAGGGUCUCUUGGACCUUCAGGUUCCUCUGGGAAUGUUGCAAAUUAUAUGGGUCAAAUGGCCAUGGCAAUGGGGAAGCUUGGAACUCUUGAGGGUUUCAUACGGCAGGCUGAUAACCUUCGGCAACAAACAUUGCAGCAAAUGCAUCGCAUAUUGACAACUCGCCAAUCAGCUCGUGCUCUUCUUGCUAUCACUGAUUAUUUCUCUAGGCUUCGAGCACUGAGCUCUCUCUGGCUUGCUCGUCCCCGGGAAUAACAUCCGCUUUCUUCUAAUACACUACUCUAAAGACCCUUGGUAACAUUUGUAAAUGAGAAACCUCUUUGUUGGAAAGCUGAGCUGCUGAGUUUUAAUGGAUACAUAUAUUUAUAUAAUGGUAUUUGUAACAUUGUUUCAUAUUUAACUAAGAUAGUGUGUGAUCAGUGAAUUGUUGUUGUAUUUUAGUAUAUCUAAUGGUUCCAGUUAG